GAUGGACCCCGGUGCUUCUCAUUCCUUUAUUGCUUCGAGAGCCAUAGAGAGAUUGGGUUUGAUCAGUUCUGAGUUAGCGUAUCCUCUCUGGGUCAGUGGACCCAAGUGUGACCCAUCAGUGGCAGUGUCAGUCUGUCGUUUCAGUCCAGUGUUCAUAGAGGGUAGAUGCCUUCCAGCUGACCUUGUGGUUCUAGACUUGACAGAUUUUGAUGUCAUUCUAGGGAUGUAUUGGCUAUCUGCAUAUAGUGCUACUUUGGACUAUAGAGAGAAGAUAGUUAGCCUCAGAGACCAGGAUGGGUCAGAGUGUGUCUUCAAAGGAGACAGGAGAGGUACACCCAGAGGUUUGAUUUCAGCCCUUCAGGCUCGUCGUUUGCUUAGGAGGGGUUGUCAGGGGAUUCUAGCGCAUGUGAGAGAGCUAAACAGCCAGGUUAGGGAACCAGCUUCGCUACCAGUAGUCCGAGAGUUUCCAGAUGUUUUCCCAGACGAACUUCCAGGACUACCACCUGGUAGGGAGAUAGCGUUUGAAAUAGAAUUGCUACCUGAUACCAGACCUAUCUCUAUUCCUCCCUACAGGAUGGCGCCAGCAGAGUUAAAGGAGUUGAAAGAACAGUUACAGGACUUGGUGUAUAAGGGUUUCAUCCGCCCUAGUACCUCACCUUGGGGUGCUCCAGUGCUUUUCGUCAGAAAGAAGUAUGGAUCCCUCAGACUUUGUAUCGACUACAGACAGUUGAACAAGGUCACUACCAAGAAUAGGUAUCCUCUACCUAGGAUUGAUGAUCUAUUUGACCAGCUAGCUGGAGCAGGUUGUUUCUCUAAAAUAGAUCUGAGAUCCGGGUAUCAUCAGUUGAGAGUCAGAGAGGCAGAUGUGCCAAAGACAGCUUUCAGGACCAGAUAUGGGCAUUAUGAGUUCUUAGUGAUGCCGUUCGGGUUGACUAACGCCCCUGCAGCAUUCAUGGAUCUAAUGAACAGAGUUUUCAGUGAGUUUCUGGAUCACUUUGUCAUUGUUUUCAUUGAUGAUAUCUUAGUGUAUUCCAGAUACGCAGAGGAGCAUGCCCAGCAUCUGCGGAUAGUUCUGCAGACACUGAGAGAGCAUGGUUUGUAUGCCAAGUUCUCUAAGUGUGAGUUUUGGUUACGGAGCAUUUCCUUCUUGGGACAUGUAGUAUCAGCAGAAGGGAUUGAGGUAGACCCCAAGAAGAUAGAGGCUGUAGCUAACUGGCCCAGACCCACUACAGUGACUGAGAUUAAAAGCUUUCUGGGACUGGCAGGUUACUGCAGGAGGUUCGUUCAGGACUUCUCAAAGAUAGCGGCUCCUAUGACCAAACUGACUCAGAAGAACCAGAAGUUUGUCUGGUCAGACCAGUGUGAAGAGAGCUUUGAGGAGCUCAAGAGGAGAUUGACAACAGCACCAGUGUUAGCUCUGCCUGUCAGUAAUGAGGAUUUCAUAGUGUUCUGUGAUGCAUCUCGAGUGGGAUUGGGUUGUGUUUUGAUGUAGAGUGAUAGGGUGAUUGCUUAUGCUUCUAGACAGUUGAAGAAGCACGAGUUGAAUUACCCUACCCAUGACCUAGAGAUGGCAGCAGUUAUUUUUGCACUCAAGAUGUGGCGGCAUUACCUCUACGGGGUUAAAUGCGAGAUUUUCACUGAUCAUAAGAGUUUACAGUACAUCUUGAGCUAGAGAGAGCUGAAUUUGAGGCAGAGAAGAUGGGUAGAAUUGCUCAGUGAUUAUGAUUGUAAGAUCCAGUAUCAUCCGGGUAAGGCGAAUGUUGUGGCAGACGCCCUAAGCCGGAAGUCACUAGGCAGUUUAUCCCAUAUAGCAGCAGAGCGGAGACCAGUCGUGAUGGAGCUUUACAAGCUCUUAGAAGAGGGGUUACAGCUAGAGUUGUCUGGUACAGGUGCGUUGAUAGCACAGAUGAGAGUGACACCUGUGUUUCUGGAGCAGAUAGCGCAGAAACAGCACGAGGACCCAGAGUUGAUGAAAAUUGGCAAGACUGUUCAAUCAGGCAACAGUGCAGAGUUCAGAUUUGACAGCAAAGGGAUCCUCCGCUAUGGGAGUCGACUUUGUGUACCAGAUAGUAGCAAUGUUAAGGAAGACAUUAUGAGGGAAGCUCAUAAUGCACGGUAUAGUGUUCACCCGGGAGCCACCAAGAUGUAUCAGGAUUUGAAAAGGGUAUAUUGGUGGCCAGCCAUGAAAAAAGAAGUGGCGCAGUUUGUGACAGCCUGUGAGGUUUGUCAAAGGGUGAAAUUAGAACAUCAGAAGCCGGCUGGAAUGCUCAAUCCACUGUCGAUUCCAGAGUGGAAAUGGGAGAACAUAGCUAUGGAUUUUGUAGUGGGCUUAUCGGCAGCGUCCAACAGGAUAGACUCCAUAUGGGUGAUUGUGGACAGACUCACGAAAUCUGCUCAUUUCAUUCCCGUUAGGAGUAACUACUCUGUGGAUAAGUUGGCAUAGGUAUAUCUGGAUGAGAUAGUGAGAUUACAUGGAGUUCUAGUGUCUAUAGUUUCAGACAGAGGACCUCAGUUCACCUCCAGAUUUUGGCGAAGUCUGCAGAAUGCGAUGGGCACGAGAUUAGAUUUUAGCACUGCUUUCCACCCACAGACUGAUGGGCAGUCAGAAAGGACCAUCCAGACCAUAGAGGAUAUGCUCCGAAUGUGUGUGUUAGACUUUGGCGGUUCUUGGAGGCAGCAUCUACCUCUAGUGGAGUUUGCCUACAAUAACAACCAUCACGCUAGCAUAGGGAUGGCUCCUUAUGAAGCUUUGUAUGGAAGAAAGUGCAGAUCCCCUGUUUGCUGGGAAGAAAUAGGAGAGAAGGCUCUUGUAGGGCCAGAGUUAAUAGAGAUUACCAGUAGAGUGGUACCUACGAUCAGAGAGAGAAUCAGAACAGCUCAGAGCAGAUAGAAAAGUUAUGCAGACGUUCGCAAAAAGCAGUUAGAGUUUCAGGAGGGUAGUAUGGUAUUGCUGAAGGUGUCUCCAAUGAAAGGAGUGGUUCGUUUUGGAAGAAAAGGUAAGUUAGCCCCACGAUACAUUGGACCCUUUGAGAUUGUACAGAGGAUCGGAAAUGUGUCGUAUAAGCUAGAUUUACCUGCUUCUAUGGAGAGAAUUCACCCGGUAUUUCAUGUUUCUAUGCUACGGCAGUUUGUGUCAGAUCCGAGUCAAGUUCUGAGUGAGCCUGAUGUGGAGAUUCUAGGGGAUCUCACUUAUAUAGAGCAGCCGGUACGGAUUCUGGACACGCAGAUCAGACAGCUAAGGAACAAAGAGAUUCCGAUGGUGAAAGUUCUGUGGAUCCACCAUAAUCUAGAAGAAUGUACCUGGGAGACGCGGGAGUCUAUGCUUCAGCAAUAUCCAUUUUUGUUUUGAGGUUAGUUUCCUCCUUUUUAUGUGUUCGUUGUUUGUUUUAGGAACAUUCGAGGACGAAUGGUCUUAAGGGGGGGAGAAUGUAAUACCCGGCUAGAGUCCGGCAUCGGAAGUCUACUUUCCGAUGGAGUUCAGGAUGCCGAAAGUCUCUAGAAGGGUUAGAUUUAUGUUUUUCUAAAAGGUUUUGGUAUGUUUCAUAGUUUUCAAGCAUAAGGAAAUGAGGUUUUGAGUGAAAUGAACCAAGGCAGAAAAGCCAGGUUCGGCCGCCGAACAUGCAUGGCUUUCGGUUUCACGUGUGGCCGCCGAAGGUGGUCUGGCCAGCCACCUAUAAAAGGCCCUCAGUCGGUUGAAAUGAUAAGAUCACCGUUUCUUUUACCUUCUGAGGUGAGACCCUGUCCUUUUUAGAGUUUUCUUCAUGUUUUCAUUAAAUCAUGCAAAGAUUUGAUUGAUUUUUAUGUUGUUUUGAAGGUUUUGAGUUAGAAACUUCAAUUUUGAAGUUUGGAGAGUUUGAAGGAGAGUUGCUCCAAAACUCCACGUUAGGAUCGUUCAUCUUCUUGGUUUCAAGAGGUAAGUGAAGAUCCUGAGCUUGUUUUCAUGAUUUAUGGAUGAUUUGAGAGGUUUUGGGGGAGAGUUGCAUGCAUAGGGUAAAAGGAGAGUUUUUGAUAUUUUUGUGAGAAAAGCAUGUUUGUGUGGUGUAUGUUAUGUGUUGUUGGGGUUUUAAGGCAGUUUCUGACUCCUUUGAGCAUAUACUUGGAUGUAUGCAAGUUGAGGAAUUGAGGUGUGUGAGAUUGGGAGAGUUUUGUGCUUUUGGUGAGAGGCAGAGCAAGUUUCUGCCUUGCGGAUGAACUCAGGUUCGGCCGCCGAAGGUACAUUCGGCCGCCGAACCCAUGAGGAGGUGGCUUCGGCUGCCCAAGCUUGCCCCCGAGCUUUUGGAUUUUUGGCUCUGGAGGGGAGUUUGGCCGCCGAAGGUGCCGCCGAAGGUUAGAGACUUUCGUCUCUGGAGUGCCUUUCAGCCUCCAAAACUUGCCCCCGAAAGGGUUCGGCUGCCGAAAGUAGAGAUUCGGCCGCCGAAGGUGCAUGAGUUUCGUCUCUGGAGAGGACUUUUGGCCGCCGAACCUGCCGCCGAAAGUGUUUUGUCCAGCCUUCUCUUGCAUGUUUUGCAUGGAUGUUUGAGUGAGUUUAAGGGGAGUCUUAGAGAGUUAAAUAGAGUUGUUUAUAAGUUAGUUGGGUCCCUCAUUUGAGUUUAUCUGUGCUUACACAGACCAGAGGAACCAGAGAGAGCAGCAGUGAGUACUACUCCAGAGUUUUCAGAGCCUGCAGAGGCAGUCCAGAUAGCCAGAGGUGAGUGGAACUAAACUUAAUUCUUUUAAUUGCGAAAUGGAAUGUUUUUAGCAUAUUUCAUGCAUCAUGGUUAUGCAGUAGGUUGAUUGCAUUAGAAUCCACGAAUAUGUUGCAUUGCAUAGUUAUUUAUUGAUGUGGGUGAAUGCUGAAUGAUCCAAUAGUCUCUGAGAGAAGUCCAGGAGCCUUUGAGUAUGCCCUGGCAGGUAUAGAGAAGUCCAGGAGCCUUUGACUACGCCCUGGCAGGUAUAGUAAAGUCCAGGAGCCUUUGACUACGCCCUGGCAAUGGUAAGUACAGAGGUGUUAUAUACACAUAUACAGAUAUAACCGGAAGACCAGGUGCUCGAUUCUACGCCCUGGCAUGGCAGAGUUACCGGGACUAUGUGGUGACAGGUUGACCCUUGAUGUGGAUUGUCUAUGAUAUGAUGCAUUCCAUAGGAGCAUAUUUUAAUGAUUAGUCAGGGGUACAGAGUACAGAGUAGAGAGUACAGAGAUAGUGCAUGCACAGGUUAAGCCUUGGUUCAGAAAAGAGUUUUCAUUUUCUCAGAAAAUGUAUGAUCAUGUAUGAGAUUUACAGGUACACAGAGAGUAUAUCAGGCUUGCUACGGGUUCUGGCGGCCUUAAGCCGACCUGAAUCCUAGCGCCGGUGACGGUCCAUUUUGGGGUCGUUACAGUUAGGGGAGAGGGGUGAGCUACAAAAGCCCAGUGAGCAGAAUAGUAAAAACAAUUUAAUAAAUAUAUGCUUUUAUGGAAUGCAUCACAACACAAACAAUUCACAUCACGGAUGGACUGACCCAAAAAUCUCUCUACUCUGUGCCCAGCCCUCGGUGGAGCUCCUUAGGACUUCUAUUACAUAACAUAAGCUAUGUGCCAGGGGCGUAGUGCAGGCCACGCCUGGUCUUUUCUGUACUCUGUGCCAGGGGCAUAGAAUGGAAGCCCUGGUCUUUCAUUACAUAACAUAAUAUCUAGAGGGCUAAUGGGUCGUCCUGUUGUCCAUCCACAUCAACAACCAAUUAUGCAAUGCGGCAUAUUCGUGAAAUCUAAUGCAUCCAACCUAUUUCAUAUACAUGAUGCAUGAACAUGCUUAAAACAUUUGUUUUCUUGAAAUAAAAGAUUAGUUUAGUUCUACUCACCUCUGGCUGACUCUGAACUAACUCUGAAGUAGCUAUCUUACUGCUGAUCACCUCGGUUCCUCAGGUCCUAUCCUACACAGGUGGACUCAAAUGAGGGACCAAACAUACUCUAACACGACUCUAAACAACUCCCCAAAAACCCUCCAAAACAUCAUAAAACAUGCAUAGAAAACAGACAAAGGAAGGCUGGGCAGGGGACUUUCGACAGCAGGUUCGGCGGCCGAAGAUCCCUCCAGAUCCGAAAGUCAAGCACUUUCGGGGGCAGGUUCGACGUUUGAAACUCCCCACUUGAGCCGAAAGUCCAACUUUCGGGGCGAGUUUAGGCGGCCUAAAGCUGCCUCCACAGGCAGGUUCGGCGGCCGAACAUGGCUUCGCAGCCAAACCUGGGUUCUCUGGAAUGGCAGAACCCGAUUUGCCUCUCUCAUCUAGCCUCCCAAAACCCUCCAAACUCAAACUUGACACUCAAAAGCAUGUAUAAACACAUCAUCAAGCAUAUAGGGGCAUAAAACUAGCCUAUACCCCAACAAACAUCAUAUUUAACAUCGCAUUUCUCAUUAAACUAACAUAAACCCCAACAUUCUAGAUCUACUCUAGACAUGCAUUAAACACCCUUUAAACUCACUUAAAACCUAAAAGAAGAGGAGGAUCUACACCUACCUCUUGAAGAUCGAGAGGAGAUACGAUUCCAAACUUGGAGAUAUGGAGGAACGAGCUCCGGGGGUCUCCAAGCUUCAAAACUUUGAUCUUAGCUUAAAAUCUUCAAAACAAAGGUAAAAACUCAUAAAAAACUUGCAGGAUUUGAAGAAAAAUAUAAAAUCAACCAAAAGAGGGCGAAAUCUCACCUAUACCCGAAAAUAGAGAGAGAAAACUCACCCAUUUUCGGACAAGGGGCCUUUUAUAGGUGGCUGGCUAGACCACCUUCGAGGGCCAAAGGUACUUCCGCAAACUCCCUAUAUUCGGCGGCCAAACUUGAGGUUCGGCGGCCGAACCUGGGUUUUCCUCCAUGGCUUUUUCUUUCAAAACUCAAUUUUUUUCUUCAUUAAAACCAUAAAAACAUAUAAAAGCAUUUUAGAAAACCUUUAUUUUACCCUUCUAGAAGGCUCUGACAUCCGAGAAAUUACGGAUUCCAACGGAGAUUCCGCCGGAAGAUAGGAAUUUCGAUGCCGGGGUCUAGCCGGGUAUUACAUUAAUGAUCCUCUAUUAGAAUCAAGUAUGUUGAAUCACUUCAACACCUUUUCCAAAUAUAGAUUUUGAGAGAGACCUAUUAUUCUUUUUGCUGAAUUCUAAGAAUGUAGGUUACCUCUCCUAAGUCCUUUAUAGAGAAAGUAUUUGAGAGCCAUAAUUUAACACUUAUGAGCAUCCCAGUGUCAUUUCCAUUAACAAAAUGUCAUCCACAUACAAAAUAAGGAAAGCGAUUUCACUCCCACUAAAUUUUUUAUACACACAAGGUUCAUCAAUGUUCUUGACAAAAUCAAAGGAUUGAAUAGCCUCCUCAAGUCUUAAAUUCCAACUCUUAAAGCUUGCUUAAGUAUAUAAAUGGAUUUUUUAAGCUUACAUAUUUUAGCAUCUUCCUUGGAUUAAAAACCCUUAAAUUGUUCCAUAGAAAUUGUUAGUGUAUUUGCCCUAGACCAUUAUCUUGAACCUUUUUUCUAUGUCGUUUUCAUUAUUAAUAAAAGAGGUUUUUAUUAUCAUUAUUAUUUGUUUGCAUGUUACAUAAUAAUGAUUAACAUCCAUGGUUACUUAUUAUUAUAUUGAUAAUAAUAAAAUAUAACUAGUAUGAUUAUUGAUUAAUAAUUAUGAGAUGAUUAUGUAUAUGUUGAUAGAAUUCAAUAAUUAUAGAUACUUGUUAGAGAAUAAAGUAUUGGAUGGACCCGCAUUUAGAUCACUACAUAGGUUACUGUCAUAAGUGAAUCUCAAAGUAGUUAUGUCUUAAUCUUUUGACUUGAGAUUGUCAUAGUUUCCCAUAUAAGGACUAUUAUGUUUUGACAUAACCAAAUAUUGUCUUUAAUCGGACAAUCAUAAAGGUUAUGAUUGAGCAUGAUAGAAAUUAUAUAGAGGAUAUUGAACAAUCAAGAUAAAAUUUGUCCCUCUCUUUGAGAGAGAUAUCUUCUGGGCCCCUCGAUAAGUGAGACUGAGAAAUGUAUGGCCGUGCUCAAAUAAAUUGAUAGUGUGAUCAAUAUCAUUUGAUUUUAUCAGUCUACUCAGAGAUAAAAAAAUCACAAGUUUGAAUAUUAUAAGUUUGACAUUGACAAUUACUUAUGUUCAAACUAGAUAUCGUAUGGCAAAGGAAUUAAUACAUGUUCUAUUUAUCAGGCUUUAUCGGACUAUCGAUCGUAAUAUUAGUUGGGUAGUCAUAAUAUCUUGCUAGAGGCCGCUUAUGAUUUAUGGGCCUUGUGAGACUGGGCCUAUUACAAUUAAUAUGAGCCUAUUGGGUCACACACAAAAGAACGUUAUUGAUGUGCUAUGUCAUAUUAAUGGGCUAAAGCCCAUUAAUAUAAUUAAUAAUAAUAAAGAUGUUAUUAUUAUUAAUAUUAUUUAUUUAUUAUUAUAAGAUAAUAAUAUUUAAAAGGAUCUGCACUCUAUCUGUAACUGUUACAGAUAAAGAACUUUAUCACAUAGAUAUUUGAGUAUCUGUGAGAUUGUGAUAGUUGGUUAUGAACACAACUUUAUAACAUAAGAUAUAUGAGUAUCUGUAAGAUUGUGAUAGUUGGUUAUGAACACAACUCUAUCACAUAAGAUAUUUGAGUAUCUGUUGUGAUAGUUGGUUAUGAAUACAACUCUAUCACGUAAGAUAUUUGAGUAUCUGCGAAAUUGUGAUAGUGGGUGAUAAACACAACUGUUUUACGAAAAGAAUUAUGGGAAAACAAAAAGACUUAAAACGUAUAAAACUCCUACUGCGAAUGUGGGGGUUAACGUUUUUUGGAAAAAUCAUUUUGAGGUGCAGUUUGGAAAAACACAUAGCUUAUCCAUCUUUGAGAAAGCUAGCACUCUAAAAGGAUAAAAGACGUUCGUGUGGAUACCAUUGAUAGAGCAUAAUUUAGACUAUUUUAUCAUGAUGAUAUUGAUGUUAAUUUAUACUUUAUCUGUCUAAUUUUGUGAUUUUGAUCUUAUUUUGCAGAAAGUGGUGUAAAGAGAUAAUUUGGUGAAAAUGCCCCUAAAACUGCCUAAAAUGGAGCAAAGGAGAGCAAGCAUGCCAAGUGCAUCUUGAAAAGAUCCAAAUAAGGAAAGUAAUUUGAAAUUCAAAUUUUAAAUCCUUAAGAGAAUUCAAAAUUCAAAAUCAAGAUUCAGCUCAUUAAGGAAAGUGCUAAUUAAGGAAAGUGCCAAAUAAGGAAAGUGCAGUCUGCAGAGCAGUUUGAAAUUCAAGAUCUUCAAGAAUCAUUUUCCUUAUUGAAGAAGUCAAAUCUUUAGAAGAUGCACAUUCAAAUUUGAAAUUCAAAUUCAGCUUAUCAAAGAAGCCAAAAAAGUCACACAUGCCACCUCAAGUCUUGCACAUUCAAAAUUCAAAAUUCAAAAGAGAGGCUCCACCUCAUUAAUGCAAGAUAUGGGCGGCAUGGGCAGUAUAUGGGCAGCCAAGAAUUCAACUUGGGCAGCAAGGAAGGCUAGGGCAGCAUCUUAAAUCCUAUUUAAAGACAAGGUAAGGCCAACCGCCCACUCUUCCCCAUCUUCUCCAUUCGGCCGGCGCUCCUUCUCCAAGUUCUCCACCAUUCAGUUCCUUCUCUUCUUCUUCUUUUCUUGUUUUUUGAUUUUUGGUUCAGUCAUGAGUGGGUGAAACCUUUUAUUCUAGUUGAAGAUUGGGUGAUACUUUGGUUAUUUUAUAGAUUAUGAGAUCUGAACAUAAGUUGUUUAUCUUUUGGUUAUUUAAUAUUUGUGCAAUUUCAUGCUUGAUUCCAUUAUUGCUUUGUUAUUAUGAUCAAUGUGGCCACUUGAUUCUUGAUUGCAAGGUAAUAUAUUGUUAGUUUGAAUAAUUUUGAGUCCGUAAUUGCUUGGAUUGUUCAAACAUAAGAACACUUGGUGUAAAAACUAAGGAAGUUGCAUAAUCUAGCAAUAUCACCAUGCGUUUGGGUAGCUAGGAUUAGAUCUCUCUAUUUCUUAAUGCAAUUGAUAGUUGUUUUGAUGCCUAAGGCCCAAGGACGUUCCUUGGCAACUUGUUGAUUAGUAAUUAAUUAGAGGACGUUUCCUAAUUAGUUUAUGCUUAAGGAGAGACAUGGUGGUGAGAAGCGUCUUCCAUCUCCAUAACUAAUCUAUUGAAUCUCUCAAAGGAAACUAAGUGUCAUUGAUCAAUCCCAACAACUGAAGUGGAUCCAAUUCUUCAACUAGAUCUUUCUCAUUAUUGAAAUCUCUUUACUUUUAUUAUUCGCUUUCUUUUAUUGCUUUCAGGUUCAGAUCAAUUCAAUCAAUCUCAAAACCCUACUUUUUACUUUACCUGCACUUUAUUUUUAUUUUUCUUUCAGUUUCUUUGCUUUCAAUUAAUUCUCUUGGUCUUGACAAGGAAGAUAGGUAAGUUUUCAAUUCCCUGUGGAUUCGAUCCUUUCACCACUAUUUACAGUUGUAAAAUUGUUGAUAACUGAAAAGGUUAUUUUUGACCGGCUUCGACAACCGACUGUCAAAAAUUGGCACCGUUGUCGGGAAAUUGAUUUAACUGAUUUAUUUUUCUUUCAUGACCAAAUCUAGAAACAAGGAGACUCUGCCUUACGAUCCAGAAAUUGAGCGCACAAUUAGGAAAUUAGGGAAGCAAGCAACUCGGCUUUGGGAGACAACUGAAGCCGAACCCGCGCAAGAAGAGCACCUUAGCGCAAAUCAACCUCUGAGACCUCUGAAUUGCACCACCAAGCCACAGAAAUGGCUGAAAACGUGGCACAACCUGCUGCCCAUGCUGGACAUGCUGUCCAUGAUGAAAUAAUACAAGAAAAUCCAGCCAUGAGGGCCCUAAUGCCAAGAGAAAGAACCAUGAGGGAGUUGGCAGCCCCUAUAGGUGAUCAAGCACCUCUUUGCAUCAGUUAUCCACCUCUGGCAGUUCCUUUUGAAUUCAAAACAGGUUUGAUUCAUCUACUCCCUAAAUUUAGAGGUCUAGAGAAUGAAAAUCCACACAAGCACUUGAAAGAAUUUAAUAUUGUCUGUUCAUCCAUGAGGCCGCAAGGCAUAACUGAAGAACAUGUCAAAUUGAGAGCUUUUCCUUUUUCACUUGAUGAUUAUGCUAAGGAUUGGUUGUUUUACUUACCACCUGGAUCUAUCACUUCAUGGGAUGAUAUGGUAAUAGCCUUUCUGAACAAAUACUUCCCAACUUCUAAAACCAUUGGCAUAAGAAGAGAGAUCAGUAACAUUAGGCAAAAACAAUAUGAGGAUUUAUAUGACUAUUGGGAAAGGUUUAAAAGAUUGUGUACAGGUUGUCCUCAGCAUGAUAUAUCAGACAAGUCACUCAUAGAAUUCUUCUAUGGAGGUUUGCUACCAUCCAAAAGGAGAUUCAUUGAUGUAGCAUGUGGAGGUUCCAUUGCAGAUAAAACACCUAGAGAGAUGAGAGAGUUGAUCUCAACACUUGCAGCCUCAUCUAGGCAAUAUGGAGAAGAAAAGCAACUGUAGAGAGGAGCCAAUGAGGUAAGUACAUCUACUCUUUCCUCUCAGAUUUCUGAACUAACCUCUGUUAUGAAAAAUUUUGUCAUAGGUCAAGCUCAACAGGCUCAGACACCUCAGCUACCUCGGUCAUGUGGGAUUUGUGCAUAUGUAGGACACCCAACUGAUUAAUGUCCUACACUUCAAGAAGAUAGCCAGCAAGUGAAUGCCAUUGGAGGAUACAAUGGCCAAGUAAGACAUGAUCCAUAUUCUAACACAUACAAUCCAGGUUCGAGAGACCACCCCAAUUUCAGCUAUGGAAGGGCUAACAACUACAAGAACUACCAAAGAAAUCAAGCCCAACCAGCACCUCCAAUUUCCAAUACUAGUCUUGAUGAGGUAGUGAAGACUUUGCAAAGUCUCCGACCGCAGAUGGGACAAAUGGCCACUUCCAUAAGCAAGCUUGAAUCCCAAGGUAAGCUACCUUCCCAAACUGAAACUAAUCCCAGACAGAAUGUGAGUGCUAUCACAUUAAGAUGUGGGAAAGAGCUCCAAGAUGCCAAAUCUGAAGAAGAAAGGCAAAUGGCGCAAUAACAAGGUGUUUCAGAAACCCUUCCAACGCACCACCUCUCCAAGCCGGAUGUGCAAUCCAAACCGAUUCAACAGCCAAAUGCAAAUCAACAAGUAAGUUUCAAAAUUCCACCUCCUUUUCUAAAAAGAUUUGAAAGGACACAAAGAAAAAGAAGAAAAAGAGAUCCUUGAGACCUUCAGGAAAGUGGAAAUCAACAUACCUCUGCUAGAUGCUGUGAAACAGAUUCCCAGGUACGCAAAAUUUCUGAAAGAACUGUGUACCAACAGAAGGAAGCUUGCUGAGAGAGAAAAAGUAAGUGUAGGUGAGGUUGUUACUGCUGUGAUAAAAAGAGAACUUCCAACUAAAUGCAAAGAUAAAGGAAUGUUUGCUAUUUCUUGCAAAAUUAGCAAUGUUGGGAUAAAGAAAACUAUGUGUGAUCUAGGUGCAUCCAUUAAUGUUAUGCCUCUUGCUAUUUAUAAUUCUUUGAAUGCAGGUGCACUGAAAGACACCAAAGUAGUGAUUCAGUUGGCUGACAGAUCUGUGGUGUAUCCAAAAGGAGUUCUAGAAGAUGUUCUAGUACAAGUAGAUGAACUUGUCUUCCCAGCAGACUUUUAUGUGAUUGAUACAAAGGAAGACAAUAGCAACACUACUUCAGACAUCCUUCUUGGACAUCCUUUCUUAAGCACAACCAGGACUAAGAUAGAUGUGCAUGAUGGCACUCUCACCAUGGAAUUUGAAGGGGAAGUUAUUAAAUUUAAUGUUUAUGAUGCUAUGAAAUAUCCUUAUGAUUUGUCCCCUAUUUAUGGUUUAGAUAUCAUUGAUUGUUUGAGCCAGGAAGUUUUUGAUAUGAAUCAAGAUGAUAUACUAAACAAUGACCUUCGCAGGGAUGAGAGCCGAAAAGAGCCAGAAUUGAAAGAAACAGUCUGCGGCAUCCAGCAGAUGAGCUGCAGACAACCGCAGGAAGAACAGAAAUCAAUCGCACCUCUUCAGAUCAGUCCGCAUAAGAACCUUGCGUAGACAGAGGGCAUUCCAAAUGCGCCUCUUCAGCUUGAACCGCAGGACAGUCAUGCGAAACAUCCCUUUUAGACUGGUCUUACACAGAAGGAAGAAGCUAAAACCAGUUCAUCUAGACAGCAGAAUACAGGUCAGAAAAUUUCAGAACCAGAUCUGAAGCCUCUUCCAGACCAUUUGAAAUAUAUGUACUUGGGAGCUGAGAAGACACAUCUAGUGAUAGUGUCAAGUCAAUUAAGCCAAAAGGAAGAAGAAAGCCUCCUAAAAGUACUGAGAAAGCACAAAGGAGCCAUAGGGUGGACCAUAGAUGACAUAAAAGGCAUCUCCCCUGCCACAUGCAUGCAUAGAAUACACAUGGAAGAGGAAUGUAAGCUAGUCCAAGAUGCCCAAAGAAGGCUGAAUCCACCUAUGAUGGAGGUAGUGAAAAAGGAAAUAGUCAAGCUUCUUGACGCAGGUAUCAUCUACCCAAUCUCUGAUAGCAAAUGGGUAAGUCCUGUGCAUGUAGUCCUAAAGAAAACUGGGAUCACCAUUGUUCCAAACGCUGAAGGAGAACUUGUUCCAACUAGAGUUCAGAAUGGAUGGAGAGUAUGCAUGGACUAUAAGAAGCUGGAAAGGCUUGCAAGUAAGUCCCAUUAAUGUUGUCUUGAUGGUUUUUCAGGUUUUUAUCAGAUUCUAGUAGCUCCAUAAGACCAAGAAAAGACCACCUUCACUUGUCCUUUUGGCACUCUUGCAUUUAGAAGGAUGCCAUUUGGUCUCUGUAAUACCCCUGCUACCUUCCAACAUUAUAUGAUGAGCAUAUUCUCAGGUUAUGUGGGGAACACCAUUGAAGUGUUCAUGGAUGACUUCACAGUGCAAGGUAACUCCUUUGAAAAAUGCCUUGCCAACCUGGAAAAGAUCCUACAAAGAUGCCUUGAAUCAAAUCUUGUACUUAAUUAUGAAAAAUGCCACUUCAUGGUUAACCAAGGUAUGGUCUUAGGGCAUGUUGUUUCAGCUAAAGGAAUUGAAGUGGACAAAGCCAAGGUAGACACCAUAAAAAAUCUGCCUUAUCCCACAAAUGUUAGAGAUAUCCGCUCUUUCCUUGGUUAUGCAGGAUUCUGUAGGAGAUUCAUAAAAGACUUCUUCAAAAUCACACAGCCAUUAUACAGAUUGCUCCAACAGGAUAUAACAUUUGAUUUUGAUGCAGAUUGUAAGACAGCAUUUGAUUGGAUAAAGGAAUUACUUGUGACUGCCCCAAUCAUUCAGGCACUUGACUGGAACUUGCCCUUUGAGAUCAUGUGUGAUGCAAGCAACUAUGCUGUGGGGGCAGUCUUGGGGCAACGUGUGGGGAACUCACCCCACGUGAUUCACUAUGCCUUUUGCACAUUGGAUGCUGCCCAAAGCAACUACUCAACAACAGAAAAAGAGCUCUUGGCUAUUGUAUUUGCUUUAGAGAAAUCCAGACCAUACCUCCUGGGGACUAAAGUCAUCAUCUAUUCUGACCAUGCAGCCUUGCGAUAUCUGAUCAAGAAAAAGGAAGCAAAACCGAGACUCAUUCGGUGGAUUCUGCUAUUACAAGAAUUUGAUCUGGAGAUACGUGACAAGAAAGGGAAAGAGAAUCUAGUGGCUGACCACCUAAGCCGGCUUCCCUCCAGCUCUGCGCCAUGUUCAGUCAAAGAAGUCUUUUCAAAUGAACAUCUGUUCGUCUCUCAGUCUGCUUAAGUGGAUCACACCAUGCACACCACCCCAGGGGAGUACUUAGUUUCCUUUGAACUUUUAUAUUUCGAAUACAUUGAGGACAAUGCAUGAUUAAGGUAUGGGGGUGCAUAUCUCCGAACUUUUAUUUUUAGUCAUUUUUUGCUUUCAGUUUUAGUUUGAAUAAACACAGUUUUAUUUUUUUUUCAUUUUUGUUAUUUUUGCUUUCAUUGCACACACAUUUAGCCACGGUUAUUUUUUCUUUUUGUGUUUUGAUUUGCUUUACUUGAACUUAUAGACUAUGUUGGAUGGGAUUUCUUUCCAUGACCCCAUUGAUGUGAUGACUCUUUAAACUUAUGUUGAAUAAAUUGUAGUGAGUUGUAUUCAUGUUUGGGAAUUGCCUUUCGAAUUGAAUCUUUGAGCUUGCCAUGGUGAAAAAUAUAUGUUACUCAUUAGAGAGAAUCAAUUGAAAGAUGUGUGAAUGAACUUAAUAUGACUUGUUUUAGCAAUUGGUGAUAGUUUGCCCAAAUCUAUUGAGAUAGAAAAUUUGGCAAUGGCUUAGACUUCAUGAGCACAAAUUGAAAACUGUUCCAAUGGUUGAAAGGCUAUGAACAGAGCUAGUAGCCACUUGGACAUGUGACUAACUGAAAAUAUAUACUUUCACAUCAAAAAAGUUGGUGACUUUUUCAAGCAAGAUUUAAGUGCAAAAUUCUGAAUAUAGUACUUCAAGGUAAGGGAAAAUCACUCUGAAAGCUAGAAAGAGUCUUAAUUGAACAAAUAAUGUGUGCAUGUGUAAUCUCUCUACUGAGGAAAAUAAAUACUAGCCAUGGUAGAUAAAGGGAGACAAGGAAAGAAGGUGAGUAACCUUGAUGCAUACAUUCUUCACUGCAAUGAUUCAAAAUAAGUGUCUAGAGUAAGAGCUUAAGUGGAAAUAAAGGAUAAAGAAGCAAAGAGAGCUUGUUUGACAUUUGCUUGAGGACAAGCAAAAGGCUAGGUGUGAGGGUAUUUGAUAGAGCAUAAUUUAGACAAUUUUAUCAUGAUGAUAUUGAUAUUAAUUUACACUUUCUCUGCCUAAUUUUGUGAUUUUGAUCUUAUUUUGCAGAAAAUUUCUUCCUAAAUGUGUCUAUAUAGAAAAAAAAAAGUUUUGGCAUUGAUAGAGCAUAAAUUAGUCCAUUUUAUCUUGAUAUUAUUGAUGAUUAUUUACAUGAUUUAUGCUUAAUUUAGUGCUCUUGACAUUAUUUUGCAAAAAAUGGUGAAAAAGGACAUUUUGGAGAAAAUACCCUUAAAACUGCCUUAAAUGGAACAAAGGAGAGCAAGCCUGCCAAGUUGGAAUCACGUGAAGCUAAAUAAGGAAAGUUCUAAAUAAGGAAGGUGGCAAAGAAGGAAAGAAAAUUCAGCCAAAGCAAUUUGAAGUUCAAAUUUCAAAUCUCCAAGUAGCCUUUUCCUUAUUCAAGAAGCCAAGUCUCAAGUUGUCAUAAACGAAGAGCCAAAUAAGGAAAGUAUUUUAAAAUUCAAAUCUUCAAGAUUCAUAUUCAAAUUUUGAAUUUCAAAAUCCAGCUUAUUGAGGAAGCCAAAUCCAAAGAUCACAUGCUUGCCACCUCAUGCCUUGCACAUUAAAAAUUCAAAUUGCAAAGGAGGCUCCACCUUCCUUAUUAGUGCAUGGGCGGCAAGGAGAGUGUGAAGGCAAGACUUGGGCACCUUGGGCAGCAUCUUGAAAACACUUGGGCAGCAAACAAAGACCAAAAUACCCACUCCUUGCACUUGAACACAUGCCCCACAUUUUUCCCUUCUCACAUGUGUAUGGAUGGCACAUCUUGGACCAAAGGCAUUUUGGACAGCCUCUUGAAGUCUUUUGGGCAGCCUCUUGACACCUUGGGCAGCCUCUUCACUAAUUAGGAAGCAAGUAUCAUCUAGGGCAACACUUUUCAAGUAUAAAAAGACACAUAAGGAGCCUCCCCAUGCUCUUUCAAGCCCCCCUUGGAGGCACCUACGGAAUUCACAUCUCUUCUUCUACCUUUCUUCUUUUCUUUUAUUUUCUUUUUUUGUUUCAGCCAUGAGUGGCUGAGACCUUUUUUUCUAGUUGAAGAUUGGUUGAAACUUUGGUUGUUUUAUGGAUUGUGAGAUCUGAACAUAAGUUGUUGAUCUUUUGGUUAUUUAAUAUUUGUGCAAUUUCAUGCUUGAUUCCAUUAUUGCUUUGUUAUUUUGAUCAAUGUGGCCAAUUGAUUAUUGAUUGCAAGGUAAUAUAUUGUUAGUUUGAAUGAUUUUAAGUCCGUAAUUGCUUGGAUUGUUCAGACAUAAGAACACUUGGUGUAAAAACCAAGAAAAUUGUAUGAUCUAGCAACAUCUCAUGCGUUUGAGUAGUUAGGAUUGGAUCUCUCUCUUUCUUCAUGCAAUUAACAAUUGUUUGAUGCCUAAGGCCCAAGGACGUUCCUUGGCAAUUUGUUAAUUAGUAAUUAAUUAGAGGACGUUCCCUAAUUGGUUUAAUCAUAAGGAGAGACAUGGUGGUAAGAAGCAUCUUCCAUCUCCAUAACUAAUCUAUUGAAUCAAUCAAAAGAAACUAAGUGUCAAUGAUCAAUCCCAACAACUGAAGUGGAUCCAACUCUUCAACUAGAACUUUCUUAUUAUUUAUUUCUCUUUUAUUUUAUUAUUCGCUUAUUUUAAUUGCUUUCAGUAGUUUGUUAAUCAAAUCAAUCUCAAACCUCCCAUUUUACUUUUACUGCAAUUUAUUUUUAUUCCGCUUUCAGUUUAUCUCGUUUUCAAUUUUAUCUCGUUUCAGUUUGUUUUGCUUUUAGUUUAUCUCGUUUUCAGUUUUACCUCAUUUCAGUUUGUUUUGCUUUCAGUUUAUUUUGCUUUUAGUUUUAUCUCGUUUCAGUUUAUUUUGCUUUCAAUUUAUUUCGCUUUCAGUUUAUUUUGCUUUUAGUUUUAUCUCGUUUCAGUUUAUUUUUUUUUUCAGUUUAUUUUUAUUUCAGUUUAUUUUAUUGAUCUUGAUAAGGAAAAUAGGUAAGUUCUCAAUUCCCUGUGGAUUCGAUCCUUUCACCACUAUCUGCAGUUGUAAAUUUUUGAUAACCAGAAAGUUUAUUUUUGACGGGCUUCGACAACCGCGAGUCAAAAAUUGGCGCCGUUGCCGGGGAGUUAAUUUAACUUAUUUGUUUUUCUUUCAGGACCAGAUCUGCCACCCAAAGAACACCUCAUCGCAGAUCUGAACAUAAAAAAAAAAGAAAGGAAGUGAAGACCACUUUUGCGCAGGAGCACCUUCUGCAACACAUUCGGCCGCCGAACUUCAUCAACCUUCGGCCGCGGAACCUCAUUCUCAUUCGGUCGCCGAACAUCUCACCAAAGGCACAGUCACCAUCGCAGAUCUGAAUCAUGGAUGAGGUAAGUACACCUGCCACUUCUUCUUAGCUUUCUGAACUGACAUCUUUUAUGAAAGAUUUUGCCAUAGGACUAGUUCAACAGGUUCAAGCAUUUCAGCCACCAAGGCCAUAUGGGACCUAUGCAUAUGUAGGACAUCCAACUGAUCAAUUCCUAUACUUUAUGGGAAUAGUCAGCCUAGACAUACAUUUGGAGGAUUCAAUGACCAACCAGUUCAUGCAUAUGAAGGAUUCAAUAGCCAGCCGAGACAUGAUCCAUACUAUAACACAUACAAUCCAAGCUGGAGAGACUAUUCAGACUUCAGUUAUGCAUGGGAUAACGACUACCAGAAUUAUCAAGGAUAUCAAACCCAACCAGAACCUCCAAAUUCCAUCCAGGACCUUGAAAAGAUGAUGGAGUCCAUGGCGAGUGCUAUACUAAGCCUCAAUCAGCGCGUAGACCAGCUAACUGCAUCUACGAGCAGAUCUGAAUCCCAAGGCACCUCAAUGAAUGCAAACAUGUUAAGAAGAGAGGAAGAGUUUCAAGAUGAUGAGACAGAUGAUGAAAGUUGGCAAGUACAAGAACAAGCUGUUGAAGAGACACAACCAGAAUACUGUUUGUCCAAACAAACUGAUCAAACAGAACUUGUUGAUAGUUUAGAUAUCAUUGAUUGUUUGAGAAAAUAUGUUUUUGAUAUAAAAGAUGAUAUUCUAAACAAUGAUUUAUGCAGGGAAGAAAGCCAAAAAGAGCCAAAUUGCAUCCGACAGGUGGACUGCAACCAUGUGCAGAAUGAAUAGAAACCAAUUGUACCACUUCAGCUUGGUACGCAAACCACUCCUGCGUAGGAAGGAGGACCUGAAAGCCUUUCAGGUGUGUCCUUUCAGCUUCAACCGUAGGUCAGUCAUCCCUUUCAGUCAGAUCUUGCGUAGAAGGAGCAAACUAAAACCAAUUCAGCCAUAGAUCCAAUGCAAACAGCCCAUGCUAACAAGAAACAAGUGGAAGUUCAAGAGCCCAAACCAAAGGACCAUGCGGACCAAUGCCUUCCCAAACCUCCGGAUAAGGUAGAGUUUGUUUUGCCUGAAUUAAGUACUAAAUUGCAGCUAGCUAUGGAGAGAUAUGAAUUGAAGUUGGAAGUGCUAAAAAAUGCAAACAUAAGGGCUAGAGGCACACCUCAUCUGAAAGAAGAGAAGCUAAUCAUGUUUCUUCAUGAGUACAUGGAAAAAAUAGGAUGGGCUAUGACCAAAUCAAAAGGAGUGCUACACUUUUUGCUCAAUGCAAUUAGGACGCUUUUCCCUUCCCCAAUUACUUGAGCCUUGAUCAAGAGGAUCGCACCAUGCACACCACACCUAGGGGAGUACUCAAUUUUCUUUUGCAUUUUAAUGUUUCUUAUACAUUGAGGACAAUUCAUGAAUUAGGUGUGGGGGUGCAUAUCUCUGAAUUUUCCUUCCAGCUUUUUGCGAUUUUUCUUCUUCUUUUUCUUUCAGUUUUUGCGCAAUUUUUUUUCUUUUUUUUCCUUUCAGAUUUGCGAUUUUUGCUUGUUUUAGUUCAUGCGAUUUUUGCUUUCAGUUUUCCCUUUAGUUUGUUUUCAUUUAUGCUUUCAAUAACACACACACAACCACAACCUUCUUCUUCUUUUUGAUUUGCUCUACUCAAACUGAUGAACUAUGUUGGAUGAGCUUUUCUUUCCAUGACCCCAUUGAUGUGAUGACUUUUUAAACUUAUGUUGAAUCAAUUGAAGUGAGUUAUAUUCAUGUUUGAGAAUUGCCUUUUGAAUUGAAUCUUUGAGCUUGCCAUGGUGAAAAAUGUAUUGAUGACACUCAUUAGAGAGAAUAAAUUGAAAACUGUGUGAAUGAACUUAAUAUGACUUGUUUUAGUAAUUGGUGUUGAUUUGCCCAAAUCAUUGAGAGAAAGAAAAUUCAACAAAGGCAAAGACCUCAUGAGAACUGUAAUACUCGGCGAGAGUCCGGCAUCGGAAUUCCUAUCGUCCGGUGGAAUCCAGGAUGUCAGAAUUCUCUAGAAGGGUAAGAUUUUAUGUUUUUCUAAAGUCAUAUAGUAUGUUUUCCUAGUUGAAAAUUGAAAUGAAAAGAGUUUUUGAAAGAAAAGAACCAAGGCAGAAAAGCCAGGUUCGGCCGCCGAAGUUGAGGUUCGGCCGUCGAACAUACAUGGCUUUCGGUUUCACGAUAGGCCGCCGAAGGUGGUCUGGCCAGCCACCAAUAAAAGGCUCUCAGUUGGUUGAAAGGAUAAGCUCUGCCGUUUCUUUCACUUGCUGAGGUGAAACCCUGUCCUUCUUCAGUUUUCUUCAUGUUUUCAUUACAUCAUGCAAAUAUUUGAUUGAUUUUUAUGGUUUUUUGAAGGUUUUGAGCUAAAAACACAAAGUUGUGAAGUUUGGAGAGUUUGAAGGAGAAUUGUUCCAAAACUCCACGUUAGGAUCGUUCAUCUUCUUGGUUUCAAGAGGUAAGUGAAGAUCCUGAGCUUGUUUUUAUGUUUUCUGAAGGUUUUAGAAGGUUUUUGGGUAGAGUUGCAUGAAUAGAGUAAAAAGUGAGGUUUUUGGUGUUUUGUUGAUAAAACAUGUUUAUGUGUUAUAUGUUUUGUGUUGUUGGGGUUUUUAGGUAGUUUUUGACCCCUUUGAGCAUAUACUUGGGUGUAUGCAAAUUGAGGAAUUGAGGUGUUUGAGAUUGGGAGCGUUUGUGCAUUUGGCGAAAGGCAGAGCAAGUUUCUGCCUUGCUGAUGAACUCAGGUUCGGCAGCCGAAGGUACUUUCGGCCGCCGAACCCAUGAGGAGGUGGCUUCGGCUGCCCAAGCUUGCCCCCGAACUUUUGGACUUUCGGCUCUGGAGGGGAGGUUCGGCCGCCGAAGGUGCCACCGAAGGUUAGAGACUUUCGUCUCUGGAGUGCCUUUCAGCCUCCGAAACUUGCCCCCGAAAGGGUUCGGCUGCCGAAAGUAGAGAUUCGGCCGCCGAAGAUGCAUGAGUUUCGGCUCUGGAGAGGACUUUCGGCCGCCGAACCUGCCGCCGAAAGUGUUCUGUCCAGCCUUCCUUUGCAUGCUCUGCAUGGAUGUUUGAGUGAGUUUAAGGGGAUUCUUGGGGCGGUUAAUAGAGUUGUUCUUGAGUUAGUUUGGUCCCUCAUUUGAGAUUAUCUGUGCCUACACAGACCAGAGGAACCAGAGAGAGCAGCAGUGAGUACUGCUCCAGCGUUUCAGAGCCUGCAAAGUCAGUCCAGAUAGCCAGAGGUGAGUGGAACUAAACUUAAGUCUUUUAAUUGAGAAAUGGAAUGUUUUUAGCAUAUGUCAUGCAUCAUGGUUAUGCAGUAGGUUGAUUGCAUUAGAAUCCACGAAUAUGUUGCAUUGCAUCGUGAUUUGUUGAUGUGGGUGAAUGCUAAAUGAUCCAAUAGUCUCUGAGAGAAGUCCAGGAGCCUUUGACUACGCCCUGGCAGGGAUAGUAAAGUCCAGGAGCCUUUGACUACGCCCUGGCAAUGGUAAGUACAGGUUUUAUAUACACAUAUACAUAUAUGAGACAGGAAAUCCAGGUGCCUUUGACUACGCCCUGGUAUGAGAUACUGGGACUAUUUGGUGACAGGUUUACCCUUGAUGUGGAUUGUUUGUGUUAUGAUGCAUUCCAUAAGAUCAUGUUUUAAUGAUAUGUUUUACUGUUCUACUCACUGGGCUAUAGAGCUCAUCCCACUCCCUUAACCCCAGUCUUGCAGGGUUCAGUGUAUAGUGUACAGGGGAAGUCCAGCAGAGUACAGAAAGAGAGACGAGAUGUGUAAUAGCUUAGAGUGGACAUGUAAUUUGCAGAGAUAUACUAGUUGUGUAUAAAAGUGUGCUUGACUUAGUUAUAUUUGUGGUGUAAAUCUUUUGUAUACAUGGUCUGGUUAUAUGUAUAUGUUUUUACAGAAUAUGUGAAAAACCAGGCUUAACAGGUAUGAGUUACCCAUCUAGAGCAAGCUCUAGUAAGGGAUACAGAGUAUAGAGUACAGAGUACAGAGUACAGAGAUAGUGCAUGCACAGGUUAAGCCUUGGUUCAGAAAAGAGUUUUUAUUUUCACAGAAAAUGUAUGAUCAUGUAUGAGAUUUACAGGUACACAGAGAGUAUAGCAGGCUUGCUACGGGUUCUGGCGGCCUUAAGCCGACCUGAAUCCUAGCGCCGGUGACAGUCCAUUUUGGGGUCGUUACAGAUUGGUAUCAGAGCCCUAGGUUCACAUGAUCGGACCUAUAGAGACAGUGUCGGGCUCAUAGAGGUUAGAAGUGGUCAAGCACAAUAGGAAAUCAUGUCCACGAGGAUAGGAUGUUGCGUCCUGUCUAUUUGUUGCUAUGAUAUGCAUGUGCCUUAUUGAGAUCUCUGAGUUCAAUAUCUGCUGAUAUGCUAUGUUAUGUGUUAUUUUCCAGAGUUACAAUGCGAGGAACUCGUCGAUCAGCUCGAUUGACUGGAGUCCCACCAGAGAGUGAGAGAACAGCUGCUCGUCCUCCUGCAUUGCCAAGGGCAAGGUCACAGAGAUCUAGCAGGGAAGGUAUGUCAAUAGACCCUAGAAGGUCUGUAGACGAGAGUAGAAGAGCUACAGUUAGAGGAGGAAGAUCAGAGGAAAUGAGGGAGGCUAUGGAGAAUGACCAGUCACCAGAUGCAAGCAUGAGUGUAGGCAGAUCUGUAGAAGGUAUGGGAGAGUCGUAGGGAGGCGCUUAUACCUUAGGGUUUGGUUAUCCAGCCUUUUCUCAGGACCCAGGGUAUCCGAUGGAAGGUAUGUCGGAGCACUCUAGUUUUUUCCCAUAUCCUACUUACAUGCCAUAUAUGCCUUAUCCUCAUUAUUACCCACCAUAUCCUAUGUAUCCAUCUUCCCCUACCCAUCCAAGUGCAGCACACCCAGAGCUAAAUGAACCAGUACCUCCACCACCACAAUCAGAACCAGUAGCCCCUGUUGUUGCCCAAAGACAUCAACCUAGCUCAUCUGGCGGUAAGGUGCAAAUGAUAGAGUACUUGAAAUUGGAUGCUCCUAAAUUCAAUCCGAGAGAUGAUCCAUUUGAAUACCUCAGAUCAGUUAGGAUGAUAACCAGUGAAUUGGGAGCUGAUGAUAGUAGAGCCAUUGAGAUGGCGGGGUUUACGUUGAAGUGUAAGAAAGCUCGAAAAUGGUUCAAGAAUUAUAUGGAGCCCAAGGUGGACAGUAUGUCAUGGGGAGAGUUCGCCAAUGAGUUUGCAGGGUGGGCUUUUCCUGAUAGCUCCAGGGAAAUGAAAGUCAUCGAAUUUGAGCAGUUGAGACAGACAGAUGAGAUGAGUGUUGACGAGUUUACAGAUAAAUUCCUGGAUUUGCUUCAGUAUGUGGGUCAAGCCUAUGAUACUGAUCAGAAGAAGGCAAGGAGAUAUACUAUGAGAUUGCAUCCCAGGUAUUCUUCUUUGAUUGUUCCAGCAGAAAAGGAGAGUUUUCACUCUAUUGUGGAUGCAGCCAGGAAAAUGGAAGCAAGUGCCAAUAGUCAAAGACAGUCAAAGGCACAGGUUUCGGGUUCUAAGGCCCCCAGUGCAGCAACAUCAGGCAGCAAGAGAUGGGAUAGAGCAAAAGGAACAAAGAGUAAGUUCUGGAAUAAAGUCAAGUCAGGUCUGGGAAUAGGUAGUGGCUCAAGCUCUGGCGCAAGCAGUCCAGUAUGUAGACGAUGUGGGAGACCACACAAGGGAGCUUGUCAGUUGGGAUCUUCAGCCUGUUUUAGGUGUGGUCAGGAAGGGCAUUUUGCUCGGGAUUGUCCUCAAGUGACUUUUGCACCAUCCCAGCAGAUGAGUUCAGGUAGUGUAUGUAAUACCCAGCUAGACUCCGGUAUCGGAAUUCCUACCGCCCGGUGGAAUCUCGGAUGUCGGAAGCCUCUAGUAGGGUAGAAUCAUAUUUUCAUAAAAUGUUUUAAGGUAUUUCAUGGUUUUAAGUAUGAAAAUUUAAUGAGUUUUUACAUGAAAAGUCUUUGGAGGAAAACCCAGGUUCGGCCGCCGAAAGUCAAGUUCGGCCGCCGAACAUGCAUGCGUUUUGGAGGCACGUUAGGCCCCCAAAAGCAUGAGUGAGGGAAUUCCAGGUUCGGCCGCCGAAAGUCAAGUUCGGCCGCCGAACAUGGCAUGCAUGCGGAGGCACAUUCGGCCCCCGAACGUGGCCUGGCCAGCCACCUAUAAAAGGGUCCCUUAGGUCCGUACGGGCGAGCUUUUUCUCCCCCGUUGUCGGCCAAGGUGAGUCUCCGCCACCCCUCCCUCAAUCUUGAGUGUUUUCCUUAGAUCUUCCAUGAUUUUCACGGGUUUUAACUUCUGUUUUGAAGAUUUGUGAGUAAAGAGCAAGUUUUGGGUACUUGGAGGUUCAAGGAGCUCAAUCUCUCCAUCUCCAAGCUAGGAUCGCCUUUCCUCUCGUUUCUUCAAGAGGUAAGCUCGGAUCCACCCUUGUUAUGUGUUUUAAACAAGCAUUAAGUUGUUUUAUGGGUAGAGAUGCAUGUUUAGGCUUGUUGAUGAGUUUAUGGGUUUUGAUGUUUUGAUGAACAAUGUAUGCUGAUUUUUUUGUGUUUGAAGUGUUGUAGUUGGGGUAUUUGAUUGUUUGAGACCCCUAGGAACUUGUAUGCAUGUUUUAGUUGAGCUAUAUGCAUGAUUUGAGGUUUUGGGAGGCAAAUGUGCAUAAAGGAGCCAAGUUUCUGCCCUUUGGCAGAAACCAAGUUCGGCAGCCAAAGGAGCUUUCGGCCGCCGAACAUGGCUGGGGAGGCAGGCCUUUUGGCUGCCGAAGUUGCCGCCGAAAAGAUACUUUCGUCUCUGUCUGGGACUUUCGGCCGCCGAAGGUGCCGUCGAACAUGCAUGAGUUUCGCCUCUGUCUGGGAGUUUCGGCCGCCAAAGGUGCCGCCGAACCUGCCUGACUUUCGGCUCUGGAGGGACUUUCGGCCGCCGAACCUGCCGCCGAAAGUGCCCUGUUCAGCCAUUUCAUGCAUGUAUUUCUAUGAUUAUUUCAUGAUGUUUUAGAGGGUUUUUGGGGAGUAUAUUAGAGUUAUGUUUAUGUAUGUUUGGUCCCUCAUUGGAGUCCACCUGUGUAGGUUCGGACCCGAGGAACCGAGGACCCCAGCAGUGAGCCAACUGCUACAGAGUUUGUCAGAGCUAGCCAGAGGUGAGUGGAAUAAACCUUAAAGUUUUAAAAUAAAUGAAGUAUGACUUUUGAGCAUGAUCCAUGCAUCAUGAAUGCCAUGAGAUAUAGUAGGUUGUUUGCAUUAGUAUUCACGAAUAUGUUGCAUUGCAUUUAUGAUGUUGAUGUGGAUUGGUUAUUGGAUGAUCCUUUAGUCCUCAUAUGUAUGAUGAUGUUACGGCAUGAUAUGGUAUGGAAGUCCAGGUUGUACCCAUUCUACGUCCCUGGCACGAUGUAAGAGAAAGUCCAGGUUGUACCCAUUCUACGUCCCUGGCAUAUUGGUAUGUUAUGAUAUGUUAUGAUAAGGGAAAGACCGGUUGUACCCAUUCUAUGUCCCGGCACAGUUGGACUAUGUAGAGGACUAUAGGUGACAAUACCAUCCGAGAUGUGAUUAGUUGUGAUGUGUUGCAUUACAUAAUGGCAUGAAAUUUUAAUGUAUGAUUUCACUAUUCUGCUCACUGGGCUUUGUAGCUCACCCCUCUCCCCUAACCCCAGGUGUGCAGGUACAGGGUAGACCAGGAGGUUAGCCAGAGUUUUGAAGUUUGUGUAUGUAAUAGCUAUAUUGUGGACAUGACAAUUGUACUAUGAUGUAAUGUAAGAGAUUGCAGUAUGUUAUGUAAUGAGGUAUAUUGAGGUUAUAGAUGUGCUUGACCCUAUGAGUAUUAUAAUUCCUUGUUGAUGCAUGAUCUUAGAUAUUUGAUGAUACAGAUGUAAGCCAACUCAUCUCAUGUUAUAGUGCUCAUUGGGGCAUUGUUGAGAUCCCACAGAGGGGUCAUGAUUAUGGUUAUGUAAUGUAUGUUCAGGUUGAGUUGGAUGUAUGAAAGAAAAGUUUAAUUUUUAUGCAUGUUUUUGAUCAUGUAUGGGAUUAUACAGGUUUCCAGGAUGUGUGUUUGGCUUGCUACGGGUCCCGGCAGCCUUAAGUCGACCCGGAUCCUAGCGCCGGUAGCGGUCCGAUUUUCGGGUCGUUACAGUGUAGUACAACCAGCAGCUCCAGCCGUGCCUCAGAAUAGUGGCAGAGGUAGAGGGAGAGGGGCAGCCUCUACUUCAGCAGCAGGUUCCCAAGGUGGAAAUCCAGUAGCCCCAGCACGGAUUUUCACUGUGACACAGGAGGAGGCUAACACGUCGAACACAGUGGUGUCAGGUAAUCUCAUCAUUAGAUGUUCAGAUGUGUAUGCUUUGAUGGACCCCGGUGCUUCUCAUUCCUUUAUUGCUUCGAGAGCCAUAGAGAGAUUGGGUUUGAUCAGUUCUGAGUUAGAGUAUCCUCUCUGGGUCAGUGGACCCAAGUGUGACCCAUCAGUAGCAGUGUCAGUCUGUCGUUUUAGUCCAGUGUUCAUAAAGGGUAGAUGCCUUCCAGCUGACCUUGUGGUUCUAGAUUUGAC
rnacentral:lncRNA from 1 species